rnacentral:lncRNA from 1 species
CUCAAGUUUCAGAAAAGUCUCAUGACUUGUGUGAACUCUUUGGACUGUCCUUAUACAUUGACUGGUGUUACACAAGCUUGGAGUUAUAUAUGUAUUAAAAUUGACUCUGAGAUUUGUGAAAAUUUUGUUAAUCACUAGGACAUUUCCUAUCCACCCAUCAGUUGGAUAAGCUGAGUAAGCAUCAUCACCACUAUCUACCUAAUGUUCUGUUGGGCUAUGCUUAGUCAGUCAUGUCCAACUCUUCACAAUCCUAGGAACUGUAGCCCGCCACACUGCUCUGCCAUGGGGAUUCUCCAGGCAUGAAUACUGGAGUGAAUAGCCAUGCCCUCCUCCAGGGGAUCUUCCCAACCCAGGGAUCAAACCCAGGUCUCCCUCAUUGUAGGCAGAUUCUUUACCAUCUGAGCCACCAGUGAAGUCUGCAGCUCUAGGCAGUAGCAUCAGUCAUGUUAGAUACUCUUUCAUCUUUUCCAAACUCUACUUAUCUUACCUGUUCUUUAUUUUAGACCACUGUAUCACAUCUCAAGUCUCAAUCUUCAUAGAAACCACUGGAAGAUCUCGUAAAAGGCAGACUUGGAUAAGGAAUUAUAUGGAGUAUGACAGGAAUUAUGGAAGAAGUGUAUAAGGAGCCAUGUAACAGUAUAUUUCAGCAUCUGCAUAUUAAAUCUUCACAAGUUGUCAUCAAGUCAUCUGCUCUUUAAACGAUCUCUUAAGAAUGAGGCAAAAUAUGAGAAUCUCUGGUUGAAGAGACAAGAACUACAUGGACACAUAAUGCACGGUGUUCUCUCAAGGUACUGUAGUAAUUUAUAAUUGCAGGAUUGCAGAAAUCUGAUGUAGAAGCCUUUUACAGAAUAUGAACAAUGAGAGGGUGUUAUAGCACCCAGAGUUUACUAAACGGAUAUAGUUUUCUUUCCA